rnacentral:lncRNA from 1 species
CUCUUUUCGGAGUGAGGGCCCUCCCCUUGCUUUUUGCGGGGUUGCAUAGAAGUGUGAAGGUGCCGCUGAGGGGCCUUUCCCCUUCAUCCGAUCUUGUUGGGCGGCCAGGUUUCAUCACCGUCAGGAUGAGGUUCUCCUUCCAUUCAUGACGUAGUUGAUUUCAGCUCAGGUUAGGAUGAGGUUCUCCUCCUGUUCCCAACGGGGCCGCGGGGGCACAUAAAGGCCAUCGCAAGGGUCUCUCCCCCCAUCCGGUCUAAAAGAACCGGGCCUUCGACUUUGCUCAUGUCAGG